rnacentral:rRNA from 1 species
GAUGAACGCUAGCUACAGGCUUAACACAUGCAAGUCGCGGGGCAGCAUGGGGGUUGCUUGCAAUCCCCGAUGGCGACCGGCGCACGGGUGAGUAACGCGUAUUCAACCUGCCCUUCACCACGGGAUAACCCGGCGAAAGUCGGACUAAUACCGUAUGUUGUCCCUUGACGGCAUCCGACUUGGACUGAACGCUUGGCGGUGAGGGGUGGGGAUGCGUCCGAUUAGGUAGACGGCGUGGAAACGGCCCACCGUGGCUACGAUCGGUAGGGGUUCUGAGAGGAAGGUCCCCCACACUGGAGCUGAGACACGGUCCAGGCUCCUACGGGAGGCAGCAGUAAGGAAUAUUGGGCAAUGGGCGUAAGCCUGAACCAGCCAAGUAGCGUGCAGGAGGACGGCCGUAUGGGUUGUAAACUGCUUUUAAGCGGGGAUAAAGGGGCCCACGUGUGGGCUUUUGAAGGUACCGCAUGAAUAAGGACCGGCUAAUUCCGUG